GACGAAGGGGGCUAGCGUUGUUCGGAAUUACUGGGCGUAAAGCGCGUGUAGGCGGUUGUUCAAGUCAGGUGUGAAAGCCUUGAGCUCAACUCAAGAAAUGCACUUGAUACUGGAUGACUAGAGGACCGGAGAGGAUAGUGGAAUUCCCAGUGUAGUGGUGAAAUACGUAGAGAUUGGGAAGAACACCAGUGGCGAAGGCGGCGACCUGGACGGACACUGACGCUGAGACGCGAAAGCGUGGGGAGCAAACAGG
rnacentral:rRNA from 1 species